rnacentral:rRNA from 1 species
GAUGAACGCUGGCGGUAUGCCUAACACAUGCAAGUCGUACGAGAGUUUUUAACUCUAGUGGCGGACGGGUGAGUAACACGUGAGAAUUUACCUUUAGGAGGGGGAUAACAAUUGGAAACGAAUGCUAAUACCCCAUAUGCUUUUGAGUGAAAUGGAUUUAUAAUUGUCUGCCUAAAGAAAAGCUCGCGGCUGAUUAGCUUGUUGGUAAGGUAAGAGCUUACCAAGGCGACGAUCAGUAUCUGGUUUGAGAGGACGAUCAGACACACUGGAACUGAGACACGGUCCAGACUCCUACGGGAGGCAGCAGUGGGGAAUUUUCCGNAAUGGGCGAAAGCCUGACGGAGCAAUACCGCGUGAGGGAAGAAUGCCUAGUGGGUUAGUAAAGCUACUUUCAGCGAGGAGGAAAGGUUGAUGCCUAAUACGCAUCAGCUGUGACGUUACUCGCAGAAGAAGCACCGGCUAACUCCGUGCCAGCA